GACGAACGCUGGCGGCGUGCUUAACACAUGCAAGUCGAACGGUAAGGCCCUUCGGGGUACACGAGUGGCGAACGGGCGAGUAACACGUGGGUGAUCUGCCCAGCACUUCGGGAUAAGCCUGGGAAACUGGGUCUAAUACCGGAUAGGACCACUGCCUGCAUGGGUGGUGGUGGAAAGCUUUUGCGGUGUGGGAUGGGCCCGCGGCCGAUCAGCUUGUUGGUGGGGUGAUGGCCUACCAAGGCGACGACGGGUAGCCGGCCUGAGAGGGUGACCGGCCACACUGGGACUGAGAUACGGCCCAGACUCCUACGGGAGGCAGCAGUGGGGAAUAUUGCACAAUGGGCGCAAGCCUGAUGCAGCGACGCCGCGUGAGGGAUGACGGCCUUCGGGUUGUAAACCUCUUUCAGCACCGACGAAGCGCAAGUGACGGUAGGUGCAGAAGAAGGACCGGCCAACUACGUGCCAGCAGCCGCCGUAA
rnacentral:rRNA from 1 species